UCUCCUCUUCGCCUUCGUCUUCUACCUUCUCAUCAUCGAACGCGAGACGCAGAGAUUCGAGACUGUUCAGUAUCCAUACGCCUCCGAUUUCAAUAACUCUGCAGCUUAACUCCACCUCACCCCUUUUAAUCCACUCCUUCCACUUCAAUUGUUUAAUCAAUACACCUCUUCGUAUUCUAUCGUACCUGGCUUAAUCCUCACCUAUAAAUACCGCAUCUCACCAUCUUACGAUGCACACCUCAGAUCAGACGAAAUUUAGCAGUAAACUCUUUUCUAGCAACCGAUUUCGAUGGCGUUCACUCUUCUUAACGACUUGAGAGCUGGCCGAGGCUCCAAUACUGCCGAGGUCCGUCUGCUGAGGCUUUGGGAGGCUAGGAAUAUCAACAAGGGCGGAGAGCUUAUGAGUCUUGAGAAAGUAGAUAUAUGACAUGAAUAGGGUUCUUCGAUAGAUCCAAGCUGGUGAGUAGGAAAAAAAGUAAUUGAAACCAGAAACGGUGAGAAACAAGAGAGACAAAGUCAUACCAUUAAAUCAGGAAAAAAAACCUCAAAAAGACGCAAACGUGGAGAAGAAACCACAACUUUCUCUUGUCAAAGAAGAAGAAUAUAAAAACAUUAUUGGCUUCCAUGGUGAAAACUUGGGUCCUAAACAUCAGUAAGCUCGAGUCAAAAGCUUUUAGAGGAACAUCCACAACACUUUGAUAGACAGGAUGCAUAUGAAUAUAUGGUGAAUUGCAAGAGGUUGCAUCAGGUACAAAGAAGCAAGUGGCAAGCAAAAGAGUUAUAACAAUGGAGGACACCUCAAAGAUGAAUGGUGAAUCUCAGGAAGCUACACAGCCUACCUAAUCAACAAACCUUUUGUUUGUGUUGUUUCUUCAGGGGAGAAAAGACCUUUAACUGUCCCAAAGGGACCAAACUUCCAUUGCAUUCAUGUACCUAAGAGCUGUUGUACAAAUAGAGUGGCAUUACUUGUCUAGAAUCUCUGGACUUCACACGGGAGUUUUGUAAUUUGGUUUGAUCUUUGAGAAGUAACAGAAGUGAGUUGUUUUUAGUGUGUAUAAAAAAACACAUGCUCAUCGUUAGUAUUAACGAGCUCAGAGGAGAACUUGUAGUGUUGAAAGCUAAGAAAAACUUGAGAGAUUCUAA